GCGUGGUGUAGUGGUUUAAAUGUUGGACUAUGACUCUGGAGACCAGGGUUCAAUUCCCAGCUUGCC
rnacentral:tRNA from 1 species